ensembl:misc_RNA Metazoa_SRP Metazoan signal recognition particle RNA
GCUGGGUGUGAUGGUGCUCACCUGUAGUCCCAGUUACUCAGGAGGCUGAGAUGGGAGGAUUGCUUAGCCCAGGAGGCUGGGGCUGCAGUGAGCCAUGACUGGGCCGUUGUACUCCUGCCUGGGCAACAAAGCAAGACCCUAUCUCAA